rnacentral:rRNA from 1 species
AUUGAACGCUGGCGGCAUGCCUUACACAUGCAAGUCGAACGGCAGCACGGGAGCUUGCUCCUGGUGGCGAGUGGCGAACGGGUGAGUAAUACAUCGGAACGUACCCAGGAGUGGGGGAUAACGUAGCGAAAGUUACGCUAAUACCGCAUAUUCUGUGAGCAGGAAAGCGGGGGCUCGCAAGACCUAGCGCUCUUGGAGCGGCCGAUGCCGGAUUAGCGAGUUGGUGAGGGAAAAGCUAACCAAGGCGACGAUCCGUAGCAGGUCUGAGAGGAUGAUCUGCCACACUGGGACUGAGACACGGCCCAGACGCCUACGGGAGGCAGCAGUGGGGAAUUUUGGACAAUGGGGGCAACCCUGAUCCAGCCAUGCCGCGUGAGUGAAGAAGGCCUUCGGGUUGUAAAGCUCUUUCGGCGGGGAAGAAAUGGCAACGGCUAAUAUCCGUUGUUGAUGACGGUACCCGCAUAAGAAGCACCGGCUAACUACGUGCCAGCAGCCGCCGUAA